UACGUAGGGAGCAAGCGUUGUUCGGAUUUACUGGGCGUAAAGGGCGCGUAGGCGGCAAUUCAAGUCACUUGUGAAAUCUCCGAGCUUAACUCGGAACGGUCAAGUGAUACUGCUUUGCUAGAGUGCAGAAGGGGCAACCGGAAUUCUUGGUGUAGCGGUGAAAUGCGUAGAUAUCAAGAGGAACACCGGAGGUGAAGACGGGUUGCUGGGCUGACACUGACGCUGAGGCGCGAAAGCUAGGGUAGCAAACGGG
rnacentral:rRNA from 1 species